AAUAGAUACCCUGGUAGUCCACGCCGUAAACGAUGAGUGCUAGGUGUUAGGGGGUUUCCGCCCCUUAGUGCUGCAGCUAACGCAUUAAGCACUCCGCCUGGGGAGUACGGUCGCAAGACUGAAACUCAAAGGAAUUGACGGGGGCCCGCACAAGCGGUGGAGCAUGUGGUUUAAUUCGAAGCAACGCGAAGAACCUUACCAGGUCUUGACAUCCCGCUGACCGCCAUGGAGACAUGGCCUUCCCUUCGGGGACAGCGGUGACAGGUGGUGCAUGGUUGUCGUCAGCUCGUGUCGUGAGAUGUUGGGUUAAGUCCCGCAACGAGCGCAACCCUUGUCCUUAGUUGCCAUCAUUCAGUUGGGCACUCUAAGGAGACUGCCGUACAAAUACGGAGGAAGGUGGGGAUGACGUCAAAUCAUCAUGCCCCUUAUGACCUGGGCUACACACGUGCUACAAUGGGGUGGUACAAAGGGCGGCAAAACCCGGCGAGGGGGGAGCGAAUCCCAAAAAGCCACUCUCAGUUCGGAUUGCAGGCUGCAACC
rnacentral:rRNA from 1 species